CCUACGGGAGGCAGCAGUGAGGAAUAUUGGUCAAUGGACGAGAGUCUGAACCAGCCAAGCCGCGUGAAGGAUGACUGCUCUAUGGGUUGUAAACUUCUUUUAUAAAGGAAUAAAACGAGGCACGUGUGCCUUUUUGCAUGUACUUUAUGAAUAAGGAUCGGCUAACUCCGUGCCAGCAGCCGCGGUAAUACGGAGGAUCCGAGCGUUAUCCGGAUUUAUUGGGUUUAAAGGGAGCGUAGAUGGGUUGUUAAGUCAGUUGUGAAAGGUUGCGGCUCAACCGUAAAAGUGCAAUGGAUACUGGCAGUCUGGAGUACAGGUGAGGUAGGCGGAAUUCGUGGUGUAGCGGUGAAAUGCUUAGAUAUCACGAAGAACCCCGAUUGCGAAGGCAGCUUACUAAACUGUGACUGACAUUGAGGCUCGAAAGUGUGGGUAGCAAACAGGAUUAGAUACCCCAGUAGUC
rnacentral:rRNA from 1 species